rnacentral:rRNA from 1 species
GUAGCAUAUGCUUGUCUCAAAGAUUAAGCCAUGCAUGUCUAAGUACGCACGGCCGGUACAGUGAAACUGCGAAUGGCUCAUUAAAUCAGUUAUGGUUCCUUUGGUCGCUCGCUCCUCUCCUACUUGGAUAACUGUGGUAAUUCUAGAGCUAAUACAUGCCGACGGGCGCUGACCCCCUUCGCGGGGGGGAUGCGUGCAUUUAUCAGAUCAAAACCAACCCGGUCAGCCUCCCCCCGGCCCCGGCCGGGGGGGUGGGCGCCGGCGGCUUUGGUGACUCUAGAUAACCUCGGGCCGAUCGCACGCCCUCCGUGGCGGCGACGACCCAUUCGAACGUCUG